AACUUUCAACAAUGGAUCUCUUGGUUCUGGCAUCGAUGAAGAACGCAGCGAAAUGCGAUAAGUAGUGUGAAUUGCAGAAUUCAGUGAAUCAUCGAAUCUUUGAACGCACAUUGCGCCCCUUGGUAUUCCGGGGGGCAUGCCUGUUCGAGCGUCAUUUA
rnacentral:rRNA from 1 species